AGAGUUUGAUCAUGGCUCAGGAUGAACGCUAGCGACAGGCCUAACACAUGCAAGUCGAGGGGCAUCGGGACGUAGCAAUACGUUGCCGGCGACCGGCGGAUGGGUGAGUAACGCGUAUGCAACCUACCCGCAGCAGGGGGAUAGCCCGUUGAAAGACGGAUUAAUACCCCGUAACACAGGGGCUCCGCAUGGAGAUUAUUGUUAAAGGGUCAUUUCUUUUUCAGGGAUGGUCCGGCUGCGGAUGGGCAUGCGUUCCAUUAGGUAGUUGGUGUAGGUAAUGGCUCACCAAGCCGACGAUGGAUAGGGGAACUGAGAGGUUGGUCCCCCACACUGGUACUGAGACACGGACCAGACUCCUACGGGAGGCAGCAGUGAGGAAUUUUGGUCAAUGGACGCAAGUCUGAACCAGCCAUGUCGCGUGAAGGAGGACGGCCCUAAGGGUUGUAAACUUCUUUUGCAGUGGAAUAAAGUUUGCCACGUGUUGGCGAUGUGCAAGUACGCUGCGAAUAAGGAUCGGCUAACUCCGUGCCAGCAGCCGCGGUAAUACGGAGGAUCCGGGCGUUAUCCGGAUUUAUUGGGUUUAAAGGGUGCGCAGGCGGGGAAUUAGGUCGGCGGUGAAAUUUCGGGGCUCAACCUCGACAGUGCCGUUGAAACCGUUUCUCUUGAGUGCGGAUGAGGUAGGCGGAAUUUGUGGUGUAGCGGUGAAAUGCGUAGAUAUCACAAGGAACACCGAUUGCGGAGGCAGCUUACUAAACCGUUACUGACGCUCAUGCACGAAGGCGUGGGGAUCAAACAGGAUUAGAUACCCUGGUAGUCCACGCAGUAAACGAUGAUUACUUGCUGUUUGCGAUACACAGUAAGCGGCGAAGCGAAAGCGUUAAGUAAUCCACCUGGGGAGUACGUUCGCAAGAAUGAACUCAAGGAAUUGACGGGGGCCCGCACAAGCNNAGGAACAUGUNNUUAAUUCGAUGAUACGCGAGGAACCUUACCCGGGCUUGAAAUGCAUUCG
rnacentral:rRNA from 1 species